CCUACGGGAGGCAGCAGUGGGGAAUAUUGCACAAUGGGGGAAACCCUGAUGUAGCGACGCCGCGUGAGUGAAGAAGUAUUUCGGUACGUAAAGCUCUAUCAGCAGGGAAGAAAAUGACGGUACCUGACUAAGAAGCCCCGGCUAACUACGUGCCAGCAGCCGCGGUAAUACGUAGGGGGCAAGCGUUAUCCGGAUUUACUGGGUGUAAAGGGAGCGUAGACGGCAGCGCAAGUCUGGAGUGAAAUCCCAUGGCUUAACCAUGGAACUGCUUUGGAAACUGUGCAGCUAGAGUGCAGGAGAGGUAAGCGGAAUUCCUAGUGUAGCGGUGAAAUGCGUAGAUAUUAGGAGGAACACCAGUGGCGAAGGCGGCUUACUGGACUGUAACUGACGUUGAGGCUCGAAAGCGUGGGGAGCAAACAGGAUUAGAUACCCCGGUAGUC
rnacentral:rRNA from 1 species